GAUGAACGCUGGCGGCGUGCCUAAUACAUGCAGGUCGAGCGAACAGACGAGGAGCUUGCUCCUUUGACGUUAGCGGCGGACGGGUGAGUAACACGUGGAUAACCUACCUAUAAGACUGGGAUAACUUCGGGAAACCGGAGCUAAUAUCGGAUAACAUGUUGAACCGCAUGGUUCAACAGUGAAAGACGGUCUUGCUGUCACUUAUAGAUGGAUCCGCGCCGCAUUAGCUAGUUGGUAAGGUAACGGCUUACCAAGGCAACGAUGCGUAGCCGACCUGAGAGGGUGAUCGGCCACACUGGAACUGAGACACGGUCCAGACUCCUACGGGAGGCAGCAGUAGGGAAUCUUCCGCAAUGGGCGAAAGCCUGACGGAGCAACGCCGCGUGAGUGAAGAAGGUCUUCGGAUCGUAAAACUCUGUUAUUAGGGAAGAACAAAUGUGUAAGUAACUAUGCACGUCUUGACGGUACCUAAUCAGAAAGCCACGGCUAACUACGUG
rnacentral:rRNA from 1 species